GAUGAACGCUGGCGGCGUGCCUAAUACAUGCAAGUCGAGCGAACAGACGAGGAGCUUGCUCCUCUGACGUUAGCGGCGGACGGGUGAGUAACACGUGGAUAACCUACCUAUAAGACUGGGAUAACUUCGGGAAACCGGAGCUAAUACCGGAUAAUAUAUUGAACCGCAUGGUUCAAUAGUGAAAGACGGUUUUGCUGUCACUUAUAGAUGGAUCCGCGCCGCAGUAGCUAGUUGGUAAGGUAACGGCUUACCAAGGCGACGAUGCGUAGCCGACCUGAGAGGGUGAUCGGCCACACUGGAACUGAGACACGGUCCAGACUCCUACGGGAGGCAGCAGUAGGGAAUCUUCCGCAAUGGGCGAAAGCCUGACGGAGCAACGCCGCGUGAGUGAUGAAGGUCCUCGGAUCGUAAAACUCUGUUAUUAGGGAAGAACAAAUGUGUAAGUAACUAUGCACGUCUUGACGGUACCUAAUCAGAAAGCCACGGCUAACUACGUG
rnacentral:rRNA from 1 species